rnacentral:rRNA from 1 species
UACGUAGGGGGCAAGCGUUGUCCGGAAUCAUUGGGCGUAAAGCGCGUGUAGGCGGCCCGAUAAGUCCGCUGUGAAAGUCCAGGGCUCAACCCUGGAAUGCCGGUGGAUACUGUCGGGCUAGAGUCCGGAAGAGGCGAGUGGAAUUCCUGGUGUAGCGGUGAAAUGCGCAGAUAUCGGGAGGAACACCUGCGGCGAAGGCGGGUUGCUGGGCCGACACUGACGCUGAUGCGCGAAAGCCAGGGGAGCGAACGGG